rnacentral:rRNA from 1 species
UACCAUGCAGUCGAGCGCCCCUCCUUCAAGCAAGCUUGAAGGAUUUACUCCUUGGAAAAGAAGAUCAAGAGCGCUUCUAAGAAGCUUUCUUGAUGGAGGGGAGCGGCAGACGGGUGAGUAACGCGUGGGAAUCUACCCUUUUCUACGGAAUAACGCAGGGAAACUUGUGCUAAUACCGUAUGUGUCCUUCGGGAGAAAGAUUUAUCGGGAAAGGAUGAGCCCGCGUUGGAUUAGCUAGUUGGUGGGGUAAAGGCCUACCAAGGCGACGAUCCAUAGCUGGUCUGAGAGGAUGAUCAGCCACAUUGGGACUGAGACACGGCCCAAACUCCUACGGGAGGCAGCAGUGGGGAAUAUUGGACAAUGGGCGCAAGCCUGAUCCAGCCAUGCCGCGUGAGUGAUGAAGGCCCUAGGGUUGUAAAGCUCUUUCACCGGAGAAGAUAAUGACGGUAUCCGGAGAAGAAGCCCCGGCUAACUUCGUGCCAGCAGCCGCGGUAAUACGAAGGGGGCUAGCGUUGUUCGGAAUUACUGGGCGUAAAGCGCACGUAGGCGGAUCGAUCAGUCAGGGGUGAAAUCCCAGGGCUCAACCCUGGAACUGCCUUUGAUACUGUCGAUCUGGAGUAUGGAAGAGGUGAGUGGAAUUCCGAGUGUAGAGGUGAAAUUCGUAGAUAUUCGGAGGAACACCAGUGGCGAAGGCGGCUCACUGGUCCAUUACUGACGCUGAGGUGCGAAAGCGUGGGGGAGCAAACAGGAUUAGAUACCCUGGUAGUCCACGCCGUAACGAUGAAUGUUAGCCGUCAGGCAGUAUACUGUUCGGUGGCGCAGCUACGCAGUAAACAUUCCGCCUGGGGAGUACGGUCGCAGAUUAAAACUCAAUGAAUUGACUGGGGCCCGCACAGCGGUGGAGCAUGCUGGAUUUAAAU